rnacentral:lncRNA from 1 species
AGUUUUAUGAUUUAAGGUGUUGAUGUUGUAAUAUGAGGUUUAGGGUUAAAAUUUAGUGUUUUGGAUUAAGAUUGGAAAAUAAUAGAUUUGAAUACUAGAAGAUUUGUAGUUAAAUAUUUAAUAAUUUAGAUUUGAAGUUUAUAUUUAGAGUAUUGAAUGUUUAGUUUACGUUUGAAGUUAAGAUUUAAGAUAUAGAAUUUGAUUAAAGAUUAAAGAUAUGUGUUUAGGAAAUUAUAGAUUAAGAUUAAAAAGAUUAAAUUUUGAUUUUAAUUUUAAGAUUUGAAGUUAUAGUAUGAAAAGAUUAGAGGUUUAAAGGUUGUCUUUAAAGUUUAGGGUUUAAAACAAUGUUUAGAGUUUAAAACAUGUUUAGAGUUUAGGGGUUCAAAGAGCUUUUCUUAGCAUUAUAAAAAUG